UAAAGGGUCCGUAGGCGGGCUAAUAAGUCAGAGGUGAAAGUUUGCAGCUCAACUGUAAAAUUGCCUUUGAUACUGUUAGUCUUGAGUUAUAGUGAAGUGGUUAGAAUAAGUGGUGUAGCGGUGAAAUGCAUAGAUAUCACUUAGAAUACCGAUUGCGAAGGCAGAUCACUAACUAUAUACUGACGCUGAGGGACGAAAGCAUGGGUAGCGAACGGGAUUAGAUACCCCGGUAGUCCAUGCUGUAAACGAUGGAUACUAGCUGUUGGCUUCGGUCAGUGGCUAAGCGAAAGUGAUAAGUAUCCCACCUGGGGAGUACGUUCGCAAGAAUGAAACUCAAAGGAAUUGACGGGGGCCCGCACAAGCGGUGGAGCAUGUGGUUUAAUUCGAUGAUACGCGAGGAACCUUACCAGGGCUUAAAUGGGAGAUGACAGGGGCAGAGACGCCCUUUUCUUCGGACAUCUUUCAAGGUGCUGCAUGGUUGUCGUCAGCUCGUGCCGUGAGGUGUCAGGUUAAGUCCUAUAACGAGCGCAACCCCUACCGUUAGUUGCCAGCGAUUCAAGUCGGGGACUCUAACGGGACUGCCGGUGCAAACCGUGAGGAAGGUGGGGACGACGUCAAAUCAUCACGGCCCUUACGUCCUGGGCUACACACGUGCUACAAUGGUCGGUACAGAGGGAAGCUACCCUGCAAGGGGAUGCGGAUCUAUAAAACCGAUCUCAGUUCGGAUCGGGGUCUGCAACUCGACCCCGUGAAGCUGGAAUCGCUAGUAAUCGGAUAUCAGCCAUGAUCCGGUGAAUACGUUCCCGGGCC
rnacentral:rRNA from 1 species